rnacentral:lncRNA from 1 species
UAGAUUGAUCAUUGGUACAAUCAUUUAUCUGGUAAGGGGUUUCCCAUUUCUUUGCAAUAUUUGCGUGAUCCCAGGUACAUGAUGAGCUUACAGUUGUUAUGACUAGUUGAUCCUUUGUAUCUUUAUUUCUUAAAGCCAACUGAUUAGUGACUAGUAAAUGACUCAUUUUGCAGAAUUUAUGGACUUAAUCAUCAUGUUACUCGAUACUUAUGUUACUGUAAUAAACACAACACAAUCAUAUUGUGGAAAUCUUGAUUUAUGCAUGCAUAUGAGAGUUCUGUACCGUAUGUUUUACUUCUUGCAUAUGUUACAUU